rnacentral:lncRNA from 1 species
CGUAAUUAUAUAGACACAGGUGAGAUUUCAUGUCAGGUAAUCACCUAAUUGUAUAGACACAGGUGAGAUUUCAGUUUCCUCGUGGCAUUGCACUGAUGUGACCGGGUGUGUGGGUCGUUUUCCUCACUCCUCUGGAAAGACUGAGGAUGUUCCAAAGGGGGCAGGACAUGCUCAGAAUACGACCACAGAGUGUCCGCACGGCAAGGAUUAGAAUUGGUCUGAUUCCUCAUGGAAAUGACACAAUAUAUAUGCCAAGGUCUGGGACAACACAAAAACUACUGAUUGUCCCUCAUUCCAUGUCUGAGAGGGAAUUUGUGGAAAGGAUAAGGGAGGAAUUCCCAGAAUUGCAGCAGCGUCAAUUUACACUCUGCCGAUUAAAUCGGCACAAGCACAUUAUCCAUUUAAACCUCCCCACAGUUUCCCCUGCUUCCAUAAAGUCCUGCCAAGAACUCAGAAAUUCACGGUCUGCUGUAUACAUAAGACCAAGGGUAUGAUUCUUUAUACAUUUAUA